rnacentral:rRNA from 1 species
UACGUCCACACCUUUUAGGUGUGGAUCAGUUGACUGUCAUACUUCCAAGAAGAGCUCGAACUACCGUAAAGCAUCACGUACCUGUACCGUAAACCGACACAGGUGGGUUGGUAGAGUAUACCAAGGGGCGCGAGAUAACUCUCUCUAAGGAACUCGGCAAAAUGACCCCGUAACUUCGGGAGAAGGGGUGCCAAGUAACUCAAAUUGCUUGGUCGCAGUGACCAGGCCCUGGCGACUGUUUAUCAAAAACACAGGUCUCCGCAAAGUCGUAAGACAACAUAUGGGGGCUGACGCCUGCCCAGUGCCGGAAGGUUAAAGAAGUUGGUUAUUCACUCGUGGAGAAGCUGACGACUGAAGCCCCGGUGAACGGCGGCCGUAACUAUAACGGUCCUAAGGUAGCGAAAUUCCUUGUCGGGUAAGUUCCGACCCGCACGAAAGGCGUAACGAUCAGGGCACUGUCUCGGAGAGAGACUCGGUGAAAUAGACAUGUCUGUGAAGAUGCGGACUACCUGCACCUGGACAGAAAGACCCUAUGAAGCUUGACUGUAGCCUGGAAUUGGGUUCGGGCUCUUCUUGCGCAGCCUAGGUGGGAGGCGUUGAAGGCUUUCUUUUGGGGAAGCUGGAGCCAUCAGUGAGAGACCACUCUGGAGGAGCUAGAAUUCUAAUGGCGUUCCUUGGAGCAGGACGCUUGACAGUUUCAGGUGGGCAGUUUGACUGGGGCGGUCACCUCCUAAAAGGUAACGGAGGUGUGCAAAGGUUCCCUCAGGCUGGACGGAAAUCAGCCGUAGAGUGUAAAGGCAGAAGGGAGCUUGACUGCAAGACCUACAAGUCGAGCAGGGGCGAAAGCCGGCCUUAGUGAUCCGACGGUUCCAUGUGGAAGGGCCGUCGCUCAACGGAUAAAAGUUACUCUAGGAUAACAGGCUGAUCUUCCCCAAGAGUUCACAUCGACGGGAAGGUUUGGCACCUCGAUGUCGGCUCAUCGCAACCUGGGGCGGUAGUACGUCCCAAGGGUUGGGCUGUUCGCCCAUGAAAGCGGUACGUGAGCUGGGUUCAGAACGUCGUGAGACAGUUCGGUCCAUAUCCGGUGUAGGCGUUAGAGCAUUGAGAGGAGUCUUCCAUAGUACGGGAGGACCUGGAAGAACACACCUCUGGUAUACCAGUUAUCAUGCCAAUGGUAGACGCUGGGUAGCCAUGUGUGGAGUGGAUAACCGCUGAAAGCAUCUAAGUGGGAAGCCCACCUCAAGAUGAGUGCUCUCCAUUAGGUCACAGGAAGACAACCUGUUUGAUAGGCAGAAGGUGUAAGGCUAGUAAUAGUUUCAGCUGAUCUGUACUAAUAGACCGAUUGAUUUU